UACGUAGGGUGCAAGCGUUGUCCGGAAUUAUUGGGCGUAAAGAGCUUGUAGGCGGUUUGUCGCGUCUGCUGUGAAAUUUCGGGGCUCAACCCCGAACUUGCAGUGGGUACGGGCAGACUAGAGUGUGGUAGGGGAGACUGGAAUUCCUGGUGUAGCGGUGAAAUGCGCAGAUAUCAGGAAGAACACCGUGGCGAAGGCGGACUCAUG
rnacentral:rRNA from 1 species